GUCGUCAGAACGAACGCUGGCGGCGCGUUUAAGCAUGCAAGUCGAGCGGCAAGGGCCUUCGGGCCCCUAGAGCGGCGGACGGGUGAGUAACACGUGGACAAUCUGCCCCCCGGCCCGGGAUAGCCCAGGGAAACCUGGAUUAAUACCGGAUGAGACGGGACCUGCGAUGGCGGGAUCCGGGAAAGGCGCUACGGCGCCGCCGGGGGAUGAGUCUGCGUCCCAUUAGCUAGACGGCGGGGUAACGGCCCACCGUGGCGACGAUGGGUAGCCGGCCUGAGAGGGUGGACGGCCACAUUGGAACUGAGACACGGUCCAGACUCCUACGGGAGGCAGCAGCUAAGAAUCUUCCGCAAUGGGCGAAAGCCUGACGGAGCGACGCCGCGUGAACGAAGAAGGCCGUGAGGUUGUAAAGUUCUUUUCGGGAGGGGGAACAACCGUGGCAGGGAAUGGCCGCGGGAUGACGUGAAUCCCGGAAUAAGCCCCGGCUAACUACGUGCCAGCAGCUGC
rnacentral:rRNA from 1 species